rnacentral:misc_RNA from 1 species
GAUGAAGAACGUAGCGAACCGCGAUAUUUCUUGUGAAUUGCAGAAGUGAAUCAUCAGUUUUUGAACGCACAUUGCACUUUGGGGUAUCCCCCAAAGUAUACUUGUUUGAGCGUUGUUUCUCUCUUGGAAUUGCUUUGCUCUUCUAAAAUUUCGAAUCAAAUUCGUUUGAAAAACAACACUAUUCAACCUCAGAUCAAGUAGGAUUACCCGCUGAACUUAAGCAUAUCAAUAAGCGGAGGA